rnacentral:rRNA from 1 species
UUUUCUCCUCNGNCANNANUGGUAACNAUGUUCCCGNUAGUUUGAUCNNGCUCAGNAAGUCGUAACAAGGUAGCNUAGAGUUUGAUCCUGGCUCAGAUUGAACGCUGGCGGCAGGCCUAACACAUGCAAGUCGAGCGGUANCACAGAGAGCUUGCUCUCGGGUGACGAGCGGCGGACGGGUGAGUAAUGUCUGGGAAACUGCCUGAUGGAGGGGGAUAACUACUGGAAACGGUAGCUAAUACCGCAUAACGUCGCAAGACCAAAGUGGGGGACCUUCGGGCCUCAUGCCAUCAGAUGUGCCCAGAUGGGAUUAGCUAGUAGGUGGGGUAAUGGCUCACCUAGGCGACGAUCCCUAGCUGGUCUGAGAGGAUGACCAGCCACACUGGAACUGAGACACGGUCCAGACUCCUACGGGAGGCAGCAGUGGGGAAUAUUGCACAAUGGGCGCAAGCCUGAUGCAGCCAUGCCGCGUGUAUGAAGAAGGCCUUCGGGUUGUAAAGUACUUUCAGCGAGGAGGAAGGCNUUAAGGUUAAUAACCUUGGNGAUUGACGUUACUCGCAGAAGAAGCACCGGCUAACUCCGUGCCAGCAGCCGCGGUAAUACGGAGGGUGCAGUCGUUAAUCGGAAUUACUGGGCGUAAAGCGCACGCAGGCGGUCUGUCAAGUCGGAUGUGAAAUCCCCGGGCUCAACCUGGGAACUGCAUUCGAAACUGGCAGGCUAGAGUCUUGUAGAGGGGGGUAGAAUUCCAGGUGUAGCGGUGAAAUGCGUAGAGAUCUGGAGGAAUACCGGUGGCGAAGGCGGCCCCCUGGANCNAAAGNACUGACGCUCAGGUGCGAAAGCGUGGGGAGCAAACAGGAUUAGAUACCCUGGUAGUCCACGCCGUAAACGAUGUCGNACGUUGGNAGGGGUUNGNUGNNCCNCUUGAGGCGUGGCUUCCGGAGCUAACGCGUUAAGUCGACCGCCUGGGGAGUACGGCCGCAAGGUUAAAACUCAAAUGAAUUGACGGGGGCCCGCACAAGCGGUGGAGCAUGUGGUUUAAUUCGAUGCAACGCGAAGAACCUUACCUACUCUUGACAUCCAGAGAACUUAGCAGAGAUGCUUUGGUGCCUUCGGGAACUCUGAGACAGGUGCUGCAUGGCUGUCGUCAGCUCGUGUUGUGAAAUGUUGGGUUAAGUCCCGCAACGAGCGCAACCCUUAUCCUUUGUUGCCAGCGAUUCGGUCGGGAACUCAAAGGAGACUGCCAGUGAUAAACUGGAGGAAGGUGGGGAUGACGUCAAGUCAUCAUGGCCCUUACGAGUAGGGCUACACACGUGCUACAAUGGCAUAUACAAAGAGAAGCGACCUCGCGAGAGCAAGCGGACCUCAUAAAGUAUGUCGUAGUCCGGAUUGGAGUCUGCAACUCGACUCCAUGAAGUCGGAAUCGCUAGUAAUCGUAGAUCAGAAUGCUACGGUGAAUACGUUCCCGGGCCUUGUACACACCGCCCGUCACACCAUGGGAGUGGGUUGCAAAAGAAGUAGGUAGCUUAACCUUCGGGAGGGCGCUUACCACUUUGUGAUUCAUGACUGGGGUGAAGUCGUACAANGGUAACCCA